UGCACUCUCUGUUGUAAGACGCUUUGGAUAAAAGCCUCUGCUAAAUGGCAUGUA
rfam:Salmo salar isolate Sally breed double haploid chromosome ssa09, whole genome shotgun sequence.